AGCUCUGUAGUGAAGUUCAUGUUAGGUUGCAAACCUAAAGACGCAGGCUAACGCCUGCCGGGGCUU
rnacentral:tRNA from 1 species